AGCGAACGCUGGCGGCAGGCCUAACACAUGCAAGUCGAGCGAACCUUUGGGGGUUGGUGCCGGAUGGGGGGGCAAACGGGGGAAACGUGCCUUUGGGUCUGGAUGAACGUGGGGAAACUCGUCCUAAAACGGACGGUGCCCUCGGGGGGAAAGUUUUGUGGCCUUUAGGGGGGCCCGGGUCUGCUUACCUAGUUGUUUGCGGGAAUGGCUCACCAUGGCGACGAUCGGUAGCUGGUCUGAGAGGAUGAUCAGCCACAUGGAGACGGAGACACGGCCCAAACUCCUACGGGAGGCAGCAGUGGGGAAUCUUGCGCAACGGGCGAAAGCCUGACGCAGCCAUGCCGCGUGAAUGAUGAAGGUCUUAGGAUUGUAAAAUUCUUUCACCGGGGACGAUAAUGACGGUACCCGGAGAAGAAGCCCCGGCUAACUUCGUG
rnacentral:rRNA from 1 species